AAUAAGGGAUUUUAUUUAUAUUAAACCACAAAAUUUGGAAAAGCCGGUGAAGAGAAAAACACCGCUUCUGUGAUGCUGUCACUUAUAACUGUGCCUAUUCCCUUCUUCCUCUCUAAUCCUUCCUCCAUUAGUAUUUCUAAUUGUCAUCCUCAAACACUCCUCUGUCUCUGGACUUCACUAAAUCACUAACCACUGACUAUUAUCCCAAAUCUAGUAUGAUAUGUGAAUUCAAGUAAGGGAAUUGUAAGUGUUGUUGGAAUUUGGAUUUGCGGACAUAGAAAUAGAGAACAAUAACCUUAGAUUGUAGAUGAAGUUCCUCUACCAUAUAUUCUCCUUUAAGUGUCUCCUGCUCUUGGAUCUGCUAAUGACUCUGACUGCCAGCCAUAGCUUUACAAACCCGAAUAGACUUAGCGAGAAUCAUCUUUAUACUUGGGAAAGUCAUCUUCUGCUUUCUGAGAAGUGAGAACUCAAGACGAAAUCCACAACACUUGAAUGAUAAGGCUGGUGGGAGAAUAUCUCUCCAAGUAUCUCACAUUCCCAAGAUUUAGACUACAAAAUUGGAGUUCAAGAAGGUUUGAAGACGAUGAAGUGGUACAAGUUUUUCCCUUCCUUUUCCUUUAUUCUAUUAUGUGUUCUAGGUAAUUUGGGCAUAUCUUUUCUUUUCACUUGUAAGAAUUGCAUAAAUUUGUUGUGAAUAAAGCUAUGUGCAUCACCAAAUAGAUAACAUAUAAAAUACAAUUAAAUAAUUUGCAGUUUUUUAUCCUUUAAACAUCUAUGAUAUUUUUCUUUCCAAGCACACCAUAGAAGAAUACGAGACAAAGUCUCUGUCACAUAAAUUGUGAUUGGAACUCCAUUUUGAUUAUGUGUUUAAUUGCUUUUCCUCCCUAAAGAUUUCAGUGUCACUUUUUAAACAACUAGGCCAUUAAACAUGUGUCUUGGGAAGAUGUUAUUGGUAUGCCUCUAUAAACAAAUUGAAUUUGCUUCACUGGAACAUGGAACAACAAGCUCUAAACAAACAAUUGAAAGUUGGAACGAUGCCAACUAGAAAGAAUUAUUAAAAUUUGCUUAUCAAAGAAAGAGAGAAACUAUAUAAUCCUCGCUCUCCACAUUGUGAAUACCCUAUUUUGGUAUAGUUUACAUCUUAUUUAAACUAUUUGGAGUUGAAAGUUUCAACGAUAGAUGAAAUUCAUCAGUAGCAACAAUUAUUGAUCCUGGUAUGUCUACAUUUCAUUUGUCAUUAAUGGUAGGUGUUUUACGGACUUUGUGGAGAAAUUGAUUGCUUUUUUUGCUUUCUUUUUUGAUAUUUUUCAAAGAAGGUAGACGAUCUUGAAAAGAGAUAAAAUAUUCUGUUAGUAAAUAAUAAUUGGGAUAUUGUUGUUGGUGUUACAUUGUCCCUAUUUUCAGUUUAUAAUUAAAUUUAUUCUUUGUUUUUUGUCUCCGAUUGUUGCCUUGCUUCAAGUUCAAGGUCUUAUUUGGAACACCGAUAGGUAACGUAGAUUACUUGCUCAUUGUUUUCUUUCCCCUAGAUUAUUAUUUAUCAAAUUUCUUUAGUGUUUUUCUUAUCUUUUCUCCUAACUAUGUCUUCUUUGGUGCUCUUUAUUCGUCUACUUGAUUAACUCCCUGAUGAUUUAUGGGAUCAACUACAAAUGGUCUUUAGCAAAAGGGAAUAACAGAAAAUGAAAGUAAUUUCAGAAGAAUAGCUGAAAAUUAUGAGGAAAACGAUCAUUUAUAGAUAAAUAUACUAGCAACGGUACAAUAAGGUUCUAAAGAUUUAGUUCUAAACUUUGUAGGAAGGUAAGUGUGAAUGAGAAGUGCUAUUGGAAACAUAUUAUAUAUUGUCGCAUGAAGGGAGUGAACUUUAAAAAGGGAUAAUUUAGAAUUUAGGUGAACAUGGCAGUUGGGAAAAUCUUUGUUCGAUAUGAAAAUUUGGGUUUGUUUAUCACUGUUUCACUUUAACAAGAGGGUCUUCAAGUUCUUUUGUAAAGAUGGUCAUAGUUGGCGCAAGAAGAAAGAUGGGAGAACUUUUGAGGAGGCACAUGAGCACCUUAAGGUUGGAAAUGCUGAAGCCCUGAACUGUUAUUAUGCUCAUGGAGAGCAAAAUCUCAACUUCAAGAGACGCAGAUAUUGGAUAUUGGAUCCUGCGUAUGACCACAUUGUCUUGGUUCACUACAGAGACAUAACUGAGGGUAGACAUAAUCUAGCCUUCAUGUCAGAAACUUCUCCAAUUUCUUCUGCUUUCUCUCCCAAUCCAAGCUCCUAUUCUACUCAACAUACGAGCUCUACUGUCAUUGCCAAUGAAUCUUAUGAGAAAUACCAGAACCAAUCUAGCCCUGGAGAAAUUUGCUCUGAUGCAGUCAUCAAUAUUAACAGGACAUCAGACGCCACAGUGAGAACAGUUAAGUUUUAGAUGAGUCAAGCAUUGCGAAGGCUCGAGGAGCAGUUAAGUUUCAAUGAUGACAACAUCAAGAAAUUGAUCCCCUCUAUGCUGAUGCAAUUAAUGACGACAAUUCACUUAUCCAGUUGCAGGGAAAUUCAAACAGUCAGCUGUUGCAACAUCAUUCAGGCGAGGACCUUAGAAAUCGUUCAUAAGCAUGCCAAGGCUUAGAUUUGGGACACUGCUUAGGUGAUCAGGCAAGGAGGUAACGAGUUCAAGCCUUGGAAAUAGCCUCUGGCAGAAAUGCAAGAUAAGGCUGCGUACAAUAGACCCUUGUGGUCGGGCCCUUUCCCGAACCCUGCGCAUAGCGGGAGCUUUAGUGCACCGGGUUGCCGUUUUUAUGUAUCCCAUAUUUAUUGCAAUACUAAUAUAUUACUUUGUAGGAUAUCAUAUGUGGAAGUAUCAAACUUACUCAACAAUUUAUGACAUAGCAUUUGAUGCAGCA